rnacentral:rRNA from 1 species
GACAGAGGAUGCAAGCGUUAUCCGGAAUGAUUGGGCGUAAAGCGUCUGUAGGUGGCUUUUAAGUCCGCCGUCAAAUCCCAGGGCUCAACCCUGGACAGGCGGUGGAAACUACCAAGCUGGAGUACGGUAGGGGCAGAGGGAAUUCCGGUGGAGCGGUGAAAUGCGUAGAGAUCGGAAAGAACACCAACGGCGGAAAGCAACUCUGCUGGGCCGACACUGACACUGAGAGACGAAAGCUAGGGGAGCGAAUGGG